rnacentral:tRNA from 1 species
AUUGAAGUGGUUCAGUGGUAGAAUCCUCGCCUGCCACGCGGGGGGCCCGGGUUCGAUUCCCGGCCAAUG